ensembl:lncRNA
UGAAAAUCAGAUUUAUGGAGAAAAAUGGGCUCCCUCUGGUGGCUUGUUGUGCCUCGGAGCAGCACGUGCCAGCACACCUCACUGCAGCUACGUUUGAAAUUUGGAAAGCUUUAUGCUCAGAUAUUGAUGAAUCAUAGAAUCACCAAGGUUUUCUGUUGGUGAUGUUAUUUUUCAGAGAAUCUACUUCUCUGUCACAGCAAUAUGAAUGACUAAACUCUCAUCACGUAAUUAUCCUUAUCACUUGUCUGACAAAACUAUUUCAGCAGCUUCUCUUGUUGGUGAAGCAGAACACGAUUAAGACUGAUGUUUCCCAGAAAAUGUGUGUGCCUGCAUAGCUGGAGAUGCCCACACACCAGCACCUGUGAAGCUGCAGUGCCCACCUUGGCUCUGCCUUUCCUGUUCUUGCCCUGUUGGUGCCUGGCAGAUGCCAGUCGGUCUCUUUGCGCCGGCUGCAUUUGGUGGGAGAUGCGUGGCUUCUGGCAGGGCUUGUGAAGCUGUUGGUUUAAUGUUCUGUCGCUCUCGGUACAAUCCUCUCACAUUGAGGGGACAGGAUAGAUGUAUUCCACCGGGUAAUUUCAAUAAUUAAGUGUGCUUUGACUUAACCAAAGAAGGGAGGGAGCUGCUAACUUGAUUAUAAAAAAUGUCUGUUUAGAGCCAGAGGUUUUGUUUCCUUUGCAGAUCACAAUGCUGCAAGGAGGGGGCAUGGAGCACUUACCACUAGCAGCAGCUGGGCACAGGCUCUGCACCAUGCCUGUUGCUGCCUGCUGGACUGGGGAGGGGAGCAUCACGCUGUAUCAGGUCUGGUACGGAAGGCGAAGGCAGGAUGGACUAACAAGUAAUAACAUGAAUCACAAGUACAGAGCUGCCCAGCUGUUACGAACUCCUCUGCUAGCAAGAUGAGUAAAGCACUUGUUAAAAUUGCUAUGCAUUCUUCUGAAGUAUUAAAAAAAGAAAAUAAGUUUUACUGUGGUUUUUCAGAGCAAUGCGAUAGUACUUAUACACUCAGUCAAUCUUUUAUAUGGCUAAAAUGAAAUUCUCUAUGACAAACAGUUUUGGCUUGCAAAAAGAUUGGUAUUUUAUGGGACUGUAAAACCAUGCGGUGUAAUUUAGUUGGCAUGUUUCCACUGGCAUUACCCAAGUCUUACCUCUCAGCUGGUGCAGGCUGGCCUAUUUCUGAAAUAGGAAUGCUACAUAAAUUCCAUUGGUUGCUAAUUUUUGUUCAUAAAUAAGAAUGUUGUGCCUUAAGAAAUAAAGAUUAAUCUUAUAUUUUUAAUACGGAUCAGAAAGAAGCUUCUUCCAUCAGUCUCUUCUGCUCUCUGCUCAUGGUACUUCAGUGGAGCCUGAAGAGAUCUGGCCGUACAGUGAGAGCCCGGGGUGAGGGCUGAGCACGCACAGGGUGGCACACAGGUGGCAGGGCUUUGUACACCACAUCUGGUCUCUUUCUGCUGCCUUGCAGCCAAGCUGAGCAGUGCAGUCGCGGUGUGAGGAUGGCUGGGGUGGUCCCCAUCUGGAUGCACGUUUUCAGUGUGAACCUGGAAAAGCCCCUCCAGUUCUUUCCAGUGGUUUCCUCUACUAUAAACUCUUAAACGGGAUGUGAUAGCGUGAAUGACUUGGGGAGUUUGGUUUGUUAAGCUGUGGAUGGGGUCCCAAGGUAUGAGAGCACCUCAAGAGAGCAGCGAUGUCUCCCGAUGCAGCUCCUUGGCCCUGCACAGCUGCAUGAGUUUAAAAUAGUCAUAUAACAGUUUGUAUUUCUCAAACAUCUGCUUGGCUCUGUGACAGAAUACCAAACCCGCCCUGCAGAACUCUCACUCCCCUCUCAUUUGUGGGAGGUCUCCCAGAGGCUCGGAUGUCAAGGGAAGGAGGGGUGUUUCUGUAGAGAGGCUCUCUGAGGCCUGGCCAUCCUGCGGUCCCAUCUGCUGUGAAUUUGGGGAAGGGCUGCACAGUGCUGGGAAUCCGUGUGUAGGAGUCUCGCUGAUAGAGCCGCAGCCCCUGGGACUUGUGCCCCGUCCUGCUGAGGGGGGGGCGGCUGCUGUACUGUGGGGCAGAGGGUGUGCUGCAGAGGUCAGAGAAGUGCUCCCGUUGGCCUCUGCCCUUUCAACUGCUGCUAGCAUAUGCCGUCAAUUAAGCCCAGAUAAGCAAAAUUGAUAAUAUGAUGUUGCAUAAAUACGUGCAUGAAUCUCUGUAGUGCAUCAGGUAGUGGAGUCCCUGCACGGGGAGCAGGAGCAGGGAAAGCUGCUCGUUCCUCAGCACUGCCUUGGAGCUGCUUCCCCAGGGCAGUGGUCACAGGCUGUGCCACACCUGGGUGAGCGUCUGCCUUUGUCCUCCUUGGAGGCUCUGCGGUGAGCUCAGUGACUGCUGGACUUGCUGUGUCUCGAGAAGCUGCAUUUGAUUUUAUUUGAUCUGUUGAUAGUAAACAGUGAUUGAGUUGUCUCUGCAAUGCACUGAUCUCGGGAGCAGGAAAGGUUUGGAUGUGGGAAGUGCAGCUUAAAUUCUUCUGUGAGCUAGAGCUCAGUUUGCUGACGGUGCGUGAUAGGCAUGGGGAGUUGGAAUUCAGUGUGGGAGGGAAGGGCAGUGUGCUGUGAAUGGCCUCUAGGCUGCUUGCCUGGUGAGCAUCCUACUUGGUUAGCUGCGGUGUGAGAGAGGUGAGUUUUGCUGGAAAAUUCCUUGUUUAGGUAAACAUGUCCGUGCCAUGCAGGCGUCUUGUGUCAGGAUCACUGCACUGAUGAGUUUGCUGCUCCAUGGGAUGAAACUUCCAGGGGAAACCUAAAACAAACUGAUGAGUGACAACAAAUGACAGCACUUCUGUAGGGCUAAAUAAAAGUGAAAUUUUAACGAAUAAAUCUUCACAGGUGCUAGCCAAGAGUACUCUGUGACUGAGCCCUAGUUAGAAUAGAGAGCAGAUACCUUCAGAUACUGGGCACAUUUCCAUUGAAAGCCAAGAAAGAAAGCCACUGUGUUUAACUGCAGGAUUGUUUGUCCCAGUAUCCCAGACCAGCUGUCUGGGGGCUUGAGUUGUGCUUUAAUAAGUAGCACUGCCACUAUUGUUCAUGUUGCACUGAAGCAUUUUCUCCUGUCACAGUCACAGAUCAAAUAUUUUUCACAGUUACCAAUACACUACUUGACAGGGUUUAGGACCAGCAUUCCUAAAUAUACCCGCUGAUGUCUGUUUGUCCAGCAACACAAUGUCUUGUGUUAUCCUGCUAUCACUGAUUGCUUUGAGCAUGUCACAUCACCAAGGCUGGUACGUGGAGCACAAUGACUGGUUUUGGGCUAUGCGUAAAAUAAAGAUGUAGCUGUACUGGGGGAAGCUCAGCAGAGACCACUGAGGUGGCUGGGGUGCUAGAUAGAGUAUGUGAAGUACAAGGGGAAGUGGUGAAAGCCAGGUCUGUAGAGCAUUCGGGAGUGAAGUCUGGGAGACAGAAGUCUGGGGGAAAUCGUGCUGCGAAUCUCUAACUGUUG